GACGAACGCUGGCGGCGUGCUUAACACAUGCAAGUCGAACGGAAAGGCCCUGCUUUUGUGGGGUGCUCGAGUGGCGAACGGGUGAGUAACACGUGAGUAACCUGCCCUUGACUUUGGGAUAACUUCAGGAAACUGGGGCUAAUACCGGAUAGGAGCUCCUGCUGCAUGGUGGGGGUUGGAAAGUUUCGGCGGUUGGGGAUGGACUCGCGGCUUAUCAGCUUGUUGGUGGGGUAGUGGCUUACCAAGGCUUUGACGGGUAGCCGGCCUGAGAGGGUGACCGGCCACAUUGGGACUGAGAUGCGGCACAGACUCCUACGGGAGGCAGCAGUGGGGAAGAGUGCACAAUGGGCGGAAGCAUGAUGCAGCAAAGCCGCGUGCGGGAUGACGGCCUUCGGGUUGUAAACCGCUUUCGCCUGUGACGAAGCGUGAGUGACGGUAAUGGGUAAAGAAGCACCGGCUAACUACGUG
rnacentral:rRNA from 1 species